CGCCGCCCAUGCCCGGGGCCGGGAGGCGGCGGGCCGCGGGGCUGGGAGGCUCCUGGGGGGGCCGGAGCACCCCCCGGUUCUGUCGCCCGGCUCCUGUUUACCGCGGCUCCCCGGACGGCCGGGCUGCCUGUCAGCGCAGCGGCGCCCCGCCCCGGCCCGCCCCCGCCGCCAUGGCCCGGAGGAGGACGGGGAGGCGAGGCCGGGCGGCCCCGUGGCCUCCGCCGCCUCACGGCUUCCAGCUCCCCUCCGCGGGCGGGCUCCUGGCACCCGCGCCAGCGGGGAGGGCGGCCGGGGCCGGGGCAGGGGCCUCACCUCGCCGGGAGCCGUGAGGUGAGACCCGGCGGCGAAGCGAGGGGCCUCCGGCCGCCUCCUGCCACAAACAGCGCUGCUGAUGUUGUGUCCGAGGGGAACCCGGCUUGUUCUUGAGGAGAAUUAGAAGAAAACCACUAAACUAACUUCAUAAGAGAACUGUGACGUGCCACUUGCGCUGAAUACCGAAGAGGUGACAAAAGCAGGUUUUUCUGUGGACUUAACUCGCGAGUACUGAGAAGACCAGCCCCCAUUGCUGCAGUGCCCAGCACUUUGCUAAGAGGUUUUCUAUGCUGCUCUACAACCUUGGAUUCUUCAUCUCCAUCAGACAGUUCAAGUUCUGGGUUCACCUUUCCUGUGUCAUAUAUCUCACUACAGUGUUCAGUGGUGCUUGCUUCUGUUAACAAAUCAAAAGCAUCUGUUUCAGGUGUCAACAUUCCUGAGAUCUUGCUUGUAAAAUGUGUGCCUCAAAGACGAUCAGCAGCUUGUUGAAACACUUUUGACACCAGCACUUGCCAGUUCUCUACCACAACAUCAACAGCUUCCUUUUAAUCCAGAGACAAUAAUCACUGUAAGUAUUUACACCUUGCCAAGUUUUAACCAUUAACCUAAGCACCAAUAAAAUAAAGUGAUCUGGAAAAUAUA